CGCGGCGGCGUCCUCCCGGAAGUGACGUCAUCUCUUGGAGGGAAAACGGCGGUCAACACGUUUCAGAAGAAGAAGAUCGAUUUGAUGAAUUCUGUGAUGUUUUGUGCUAUUACUUGGUUUCUGUCUAUACAGUGUUUGAUUAAAAUGACACAGAUCAGUUUGAUAACAUUAACAUUCCGAAGCAUUGUUAAAAGAUGAGGACGAGCAUGUGCUCAGGUGAGACUCCUGUCAAUCAUAACCAGCUUCAGCGCUUUAUGACCUGUUCAGGAUAAGUGUGUGGAGCUGCAGAGGACUGAAGUUCCUCACCAUCUUCGGGGAGAUCUCCAGCAUCCUCUUCACGGUUCUCAUCAGCAUCUACCGCUAUCAGAAGCUGCGGGACGUCCACACGCGGGCCAACCUGCCCGUCCUCAUGGACAGUCUGCGCUCGGCCGUGUUUCACUCUGUUUUCUGCGGCGCGGUGGCUCCUCGUCUCCGGGCUGUCCGGUCGAUCUCUUCCAGUGCUCGUUAACCAGGUGUCCAGGAGAUCCUCGUUCCAGCGCUGGCCAUCCUGACGGCCAUGACCCUGCUUUGACCCGCACACCGUCCCUCUGUGGUCAGAGCUGGAGAUCUUCAUCAGCACCAGCUCGUACAUCUACAGAAUCAGCAACAACCUGCUCAACAUCAAGCGCUUCAUCUGUGAAGCUUCUCAUUAGAUUAGUUUCAGAAGUUUGAUAUAACAAUGAGAUUUGUGUCUUUUCUUUGGAGAACUGAGACCAUCGAAUGCAAAACAGUAACAGAAAGUCUCAACACAAUGCACAAAAUUAUCCUUUAAUUUUAUUUUAAUAUAAAAUAUCCAAAUUAAAGUUCUCUGACAUUUAAAUAAUAUACAUUUUUGGUUAUUUGGAGAAACUAUUAUUGUUUUGUCAAUAUUUUGAUUUAGAUUUUUAUGUUUAAUUUGCAUUUUAAUUACUGUUAGUGUUAGUAAUUUUGAGUGUUUUGGCCUUUCUAUUAGUUACGGUUUUUUUUUUGUUUGUUUUUUUAUGUAUAUAGUUCAUUUUUAGCCAGUUAUAUGAUUUUAUACUACCUCAC
ensembl:lncRNA